UAGGGAAUCUUCCGCAAUGGACGCAAGUCUGACGGAGCAACGCCGCGUGAGUGAAGAAGGAUUUCGGUUCGUAAAACUCUGUUGUUAGAGAAGAACAGCGCAUAGAGUAACUGUUAUGCGUGUGACGGUAUCUAACCAGAAAGCCACGGCUAACUACGUGCCAGCAGCCGCGGUAAUACGUAGGUGGCAAGCGUUGUCCGGAUUUAUUGGGCGUAAAGCGAGCGCAGGCGGUCAAUUAAGUCUGAUGUGAAAGCCCCCGGCUCAACCGGGGAGGGUCAUUGGAAACUGGUUGACUUGAGUGCAGAAGAGGAGAGGGGAAUUCCAUGUGUAGCGGUGAAAUGCGUAGAUAUAUGGAGGAACACCAGUGGCGAAGGCGACUCUCUGGUCUGUAACUGACGCUGAGGCUCGAAAGCGUGGGUAGCAAACAGG
rnacentral:rRNA from 1 species